GACGGAGGAUGCAAGUGUUAUCCGGAAUCACUGGGCGUAAAGCGUCUGUAGGUGGUCAAAUAAGUCAACUGUUAAAUCUUGAGGCUCAACCUCAAAAUCGCAGUCGAAACUAUUAGACUAGAGUAUAGUAGGGGUAAAGGGAAUUUCCAGUGGAGCGGUGAAAUGCGUAGAGAUGUGGAGGAACACCGAUGGCGAAGGCAGCCCCCUGGGUUAACACUGACGCUCAGGCACGAAAGCGUGGGGAGCAAACAGG
rnacentral:rRNA from 1 species